UACGUAGGGGGCAAGCGUUGUCCGGAAUCACUGGGCGUAAAGCGCGCGCAGGCGGCUGUCUACGUCCGGGGUGAAAGCCCAGAGCUCAACUCUGGGAUUGCCUUGGAUACGGGAUGGCUUGAGGAUCGGAGAGGCAAGGGGAAUUCCACGUGUAGCGGUGAAAUGCGUAGAGAUGUGGAGGAACACCUGUGGCGAAGGCGCCUUGCUGGCCGAUUUCUGACGCUGAGGCG
rnacentral:rRNA from 1 species